CCACGUGAAGAGCACUUGGUGGGGAGUCACUUUGACCAUGGGUUGCAUUGCAGAGCACAAGGGGGCUGGAAGGCACCCCUAGACAGCCCAGCCACCAUGCUGUCACACCCUGGCCACCCACCUGAUGCUUGUCUCUGGAAGUCAACCUCCCCCCUCCACCUCCAGAUGGGAACUUCUCUCCUGUGACUAAUGUCACUGUUCCGAAGAAAGUAGCCACAGCGAGCAGGCGGCUCACUCACAGAGCAAGUCUUACAUGCCAGGCACCAGGGCAAGAACCUCACCAUGACUUCAUUUGUUACAAGCCCACCAGAUUUUAUUCAUUCAUGAGAGACACAAGGAGAGAGGGAGAGGCAGAGACACAGGCAGAGGGAGAAGCAGGCUCCAUGCACCGGGAGCCCGACGUGGGACUCCAUCCCGGGUCUCCAGGAUCAUGCCCUGGGCUCAAAGUGGCGCUAAAUCGCUGAGCCACCAGGGCUGCCGGAAAAGAACGUUUUUAUUUAAGUAAUUCCUACACCCAAUUUACAACCCCAAGAUCAAGAGUUGUAUGCUCUACAGACUGAGCCAGCCAGGCUCCCCUAGGAUAGAGUCUUUGACUCUGUAUGCCCUGUUUAUUUAACCAGUCCUUUACUGAUGGAUGGUAAUGACGUUUCCUAUUUGUUACUAUUACAUUGCAGCUAUGAUAAUCUAAGUACCUGUAACUGUCUGCAACUUAUGCCAGAAGAGAUUCCUGAAACUGUAACUACUGAGUCAGAGUAUUUUUUUUUAAUUUUUUUUAAUUUUUUAUUUAUUUAUGAUAGGCACACAGUGAGAGAGAGAGAGGCAGAGACACAGGCAGAGGGAGAAGCAGGCUCCAUGCACCGGGAGCCCGACAUGGGAUUCGAUCCCGGGUCUCCAGGAUCGCGCCCUGGGCCAAAGGCAGGCGCCAAACCACUGCGCCACCCAGGGAUCCCGAGUCAGAGUAUUUUUAAUUUUGACACAUACUACCAAGUUAUUCCUGAAAGGUUACAAAGUUGUACACCUUCCUACCCAUAGCACAGAUUGCC